AUGUGAGUACAAUCCGGAAGUCCAGAUGCAGGGAGAGGAGGAACAGAAGACUGGGAGCUAGAAAUUUCCGCUCUGAAGAACAAAUCUAUGACCAAUGGAGGCUAGAUCAAACAGGGGAUCUGCUGUAUUCCUGAGGCUGGAGUGCAGUGGUACAAUCUCAACUCACUGCAGCUUUUGUCUCCCAGGCUCAAGUGAUCUUUCCAUCUCAGCCUCCCUAGUAGCUGGGAUUACAGUUUGAUGAGAAAUAUUCCUGAAGACCAUUAAUCAGGGAUACAUGCUGCUGUGUGAUGAUCAUAAUACAUAGCUUGAGAGCACAGCAGUUAUCUCUCCACCUGAGGACUGACCCGAGGCUCCACUUUGAGAGUGCAGCCUGGUGCUCACUGCGGCAUGGACAGUCAGCAGGCCAGGCAGAGCCCGCCCACCCGCACUGCAGAAUGCCAUGGGUGACUCCCUUGCUGCUUGGUUUUUUAGCACUGGCAGAUGGGACCUCAUUGUUUCAAAGUUUCGCUUUGGAAAAUUCAGACAUUAAGGGUUAAUCUACAUUUUAAAGUAGUCGUCUUUGAAGGAAAUUAUGCUAUAAAUGAGAAACCUGUGUGGAGUUCUGGGUUCUUUAUGUUAGCUUUGGCAGGGCCAGGAGACUGUUUUGAUGAUAGAGCCAGCAUUGGAAACCUGUAUUUUAUCUCGCAGGAAAACGAAGCAAAUUUAAAACAUUCCGCAUUUGCCUUUUGACACCCCAUAACCAAAAGAUGAACUUUAAUUUCUGGGAGGCCUCCCAGUGAUUAAUGCCUUUACGUUUAUGACGUGAGAAGAAUGAGCCGUAUGUUACAGUUGGUCUUCUGUCCGUUUCUGAGGAGAGCCUGUGCCAGGAUUUUGAUGUGCACUCGCGUUCUGGCACCAGGCUGCACACUUCUCACCCAGCACAGAGCCAGCUCACAGAUCCUGUUCGGCACAGCGACUCCAGACAUACAGCAUGAAUUUGAAGGCGGCCUCCUCAAAUGUGGCAGGCACAGUCUCCCUCUUCCUAUUUGGAGCCUGUCUGUGGGGCUAGGACCUCUCUCAGCUGCCUGUAAAGCGGCCUUGGAGAGCUGUUUUUGCUAGCUACUUACUGCGACAGUCUCCGGGAAGGUGGGGCGUGGCCCUCCAGGGCAGCUUCACGAUUGUUUUCUGUUUCCUACCUUUACUGGUAAAAGGGAACUGUUACUUUUCUCUUUUCAUAUGUGGAAAUCGCAUGUUCCGCUGUCUUGGAGGGGACAGUAUUGGAGUGAAGACCUUUGGGGCCUUCUUUAAUUCCUGCAUCUCCUGUGGGAGACGAAUGACAUUCACUAAGCCCACGUGUGGUAGCUGUGAAUGCUGUCUACCAAAGAUUUUUGAUUCUCCUUCACUUUAUGGCUUCUGUUACGAUGGUACUUCCUCUUUCGUGUGUAGCCACACAACUUGCUUUGUUCAAUAAAUAUGGAUCAAAAGUG